CACCAGAAGACUGGGACAUUGGUAUAUUUUUAUUUACAAGGCCAUGCUCGGACCGCUACCCUCCUACAUUUGCAAUUUAAUCACACAGAGGAGUAUUGAAUCUUAUUCAUUGCGUUCAAAUGAUCAUUUCUUGUUGACGGCCCCAUUUGCCUGCACCGAACUUGGAAAAAGGGAGUUUGUUUAUUCUGCUCCUUCUACUUGGAACAUGUUGCGAAAGGGCUGGAAAUUAACAGAAUUUAUUUCACAGAAUGCCUUUAAGUCCAAAUUGAGAGCAUUUGAGACCACUUCAUCACAAUGUAAAUGUUUUUUUUUUAUAAUUUUAUAUUUGCAAUUAUGUAAAUUGAUGUAAUUGAUGUAACUUCUGCUGCCUCUUGGUCAGGACUCCCUUGAAAAAAAGGUUUUUUAAUCUCAACAGGACUUUCCUGGUUAAAUAAAGGUUUUAAAAAAUAAAUGUAAAUCAUGUGUUGCU